rnacentral:lncRNA from 1 species
CCCGAGCAAGCCAUCUCUCUCAAACCCUUUCCCCCUCCCUCUAGAGCACUCCAGUGCACGAGCGCGACCGAAUCCCUUGCCAGAGCACUCGGAUUUCCGACGAGCCCGCCUCUCUGCUCCGCGCCCAGCCCCCUCUCUCCAGCCAUCCCCUACCCCGUCUGCGCCCUCCACUAGAUGCGCCACUCUCCGGCGACCCUUCCCGACCCCUCGCCCGUCCGUUUCCCACACCAGAGCACCUACCUCGCCGGCGACCAAACCCCCUCUCCGCCGCAGGCCCUGCUGCUCUCUGUCCGACGCUCGUCGGUGGUAGCGUACCACCUUUGGAUGCGCCUCCCUCCCCUGGUCAUCUGGGUAGGUCGCACACCGCGAGCGGUGGCCGGAAUCGCCGGUGAUUGCCGUCGGGGCGGAUGCCUCCCUCGGCCUAGUUCGAUCCCGAGCAGGAGGUUGAAGAAGCCAGGGCCAGGCGGGUCCCUUCCCGCGCGACCCCAUCUAUUGGCGACCAUGGGGCGUGGCCCCGCUGGCCACAUCGGAUAAGUGGACGCGCCCCGAGCCGCGAAGCCGCUUUCACCAUGCGAAAGCGUAUUCUAGGGAAAUGCGCUUUCAAUAACCGAAAGUGUAUUAUUUCUCUUCUUCGGCCGAAAAUACAUUUUCCUCUCUGGAAAACGUAUUCUCGGAAAAGACACGUUCUGUUUAAACUACCAGGGACCUGUUUGUAGAAGAUUUUUUAUAGACUAGUCCCUGAGCUUUAAACGUCCGUAUCUUUUUACCCGUAACUCCGAAUGAGGUGAUUCCAGCGCUCACGUUCUCUGUUUGUCGAGCUCUUUUUGAUGGGACUAUUUUCUUGAUGUUUGCGCAUUCUGAAAAUGCCCAUUUUUCCCUUGCUCUAAUUCAACCCCUUUAAGAGGGAACCGUUCUCCGUCAAAUCGUUCCACGAUCGUUUCACACUUCUUCCCGGAGUAUUUAUCAACUCCAGGCAAGCCAACCUCUUAUCAUGAGCCCCGAACUUGCAUGUUGACUUUUCUUGCACCUCGUGUGUGUAGUUACAGUUGCUCCUUACCAUUUUCGUCUGCAGUUAUUCUGUUAAUGAUUAUCAUGCAUGCUUAUGUUUUCAUGAUAUCUUUUGCCAUGCUUGGAGUUUUAGGACUUAUAUUUGGAUGAUUAUGUGGAUGACAUGUGCCUUUGGAUUCUUAGUGGCUAUUAUGAUGGCUAUGAUGAUUGUAAUGCACUGUUGAUAUGCUAGUACUUGGUAUUGUCAUGUUCUUUAUGCUAUAGUUGUGCACUUGAGAAGUUCGAUAUUUUGUCCAUGCAUUUGUACGCUGCAUGGUCAUUGUUGCAUUCAUGUUAAAUAUGCUCAUGAUGAUGGAGAAGUUAAUAAGAUGACUUAAUAAUGACAAACCUCCCCCGUCAUCGAUGGGAUCGAGUCAUAGUGCCACCAAACCGAACUUUUUUUCAAUGCAACCACAUUUUGCCUUUAUGGGAAGGCCUUAAUGUGAUCUAUUGUCGUGCCUCUCGCCGGUGAGUCCAAAGAGGGAAGGUUAUGGGCGCGCGCUACCCUGAUCAGGCAGGCGGACAUAAGCCUUGUGUGCCCGGAUUUGGUUUUGAGCUCAGGUCCCCGUUUGGGACGUCUAUGUUUGUCCACGACGGUGGCCGUUGGUGUCUUUGGUAGACACGGGGCCACCCAGGACUAGCCCAGUGGGGAGUGAGUGGGAGUGACCGGGAGAGUGUCAUGGUAGUAGGUCGGUUUCAUCCGAAUGCCAUUGGUCCACCCGAAUGGGAUGACGAGGCCAUGGGUUUCGUGGUGUGGGUACAGUGCGCUACCUCUACAGAGUGUUUAUAAAGUUUAUCAAUACCAACACAGUUCAUAGUAGGUCACACUAUCGGGUCUUGGUCGAAAUGGAGGAUAAACCUGAAAUAAUUAAGUAAAUUAAUGUGAUAACAAGAAUGUGGUGAUUUGGACUAUGAGAUAGUCAUGAGAAGUGAGGCAAUGUUUUGAUAUGAUCACGAGACGAGGUCUCGGUGAGUGUUGGAGACCAAGUGUUGGUCGUGGUUGUGAUCGCCGAAAAGAUCACUGUUUGAGACCAAGUGUUGGUCAUGGUUGUGAUUACCGAAAAGAUCACCAUUUGGAUACAAGGCAACUCGUUGGUAAGAGAGUCCGAGGGACUCAGUGCACAAGUUUGGUUGCAUUGCAUGAGUAAUAUGUUGUUAUUUGCAUUUAAAGAACCAUGGCAGAACAGAAGAUGGCUGCAUAAAGUUAACAUGUUAUGUCUGCAUUGAAUAUGAUCGGUAGUUUAUUUUCAGCAUAGUUUCUUGAUGCCAUGCCAUGCUUUCAUAGAUGUGUUAAAUUAUGCCAUGAUGGAGAGGAUAUGCUAUGUUUUGAUAUUGCCAUGUUAGAAGCAUGUUUUUAUAUGCCAUGUGAUUACCAUGUUAGUAGAUGCUAUGAUGUUCAUGCUUAGUUGAUCUUUACCAUGCCAUAGUUAGUAAUUUAUAUGAGAUAGGUUGUUGCAUGCACUUUGUUCUUGCUUUGUCUUCUGUUUGUUUGGGUGCUAUGUACUUGGUUGUCUUGCAAGUACAUUCAAUGUACUGACCUGGCGUGUCAUGCCAGUUUUGUAGGUCGAGCCCGAAGUGUUCGCUUGACCCGUCGUACUAGGCCGUAACCUUGCCAGUCCUGUGAGUUGUGGAGCCCAGCCAGAGUUGUUGAGCCGCCAAACCAAGACUUCCGCCGCCAUUUAAAUAGACCUUAGGGCUAUGCCAAAUAAUUGUAUUCAUCAACGAUGUAAUCUUCUAUACAUGUAUUUGAUGAAUAUUCUUGCACCUGGAAUGUUGUAUUAUGGACCUGUCGUGUGUCAGGUGUUAUCCUGGGCUGACGUGCGAAGGCCCCCUGCUCCAUGCGGAUCGGGGUGCCACAACAAUAUACUAUAUUAUUGUGAAAG